rnacentral:lncRNA from 1 species
AGUAUGCCCUCUGAUAACUAAUCCAUCAGUAGAUAUUUGUUCUUUGAUAUGACUUUGGCAUAAAUUAAGGUUGUUAGUUUCACAGUGAGGUUUCCCCCACACACACACACAGCACAGUGGAUUUUGGCAUGCAUAAUUUUAACAUUCAUAAGCAAUCCUAAAGUUCCAAGCCAUGGACUCAUGUAGUGAUGCAUUAGGUGCUGGGGAUACAGCAGGAAACAAAACAAAUACAUUUCCCAUCACAGUGGCAUUUAUGUUCCAACUGUUGUAUCUAACCCAUGGAGCCAGGGAAGCCCUCUUUAGGUAAUGAUUUUAUAAAGUGUGUUGUGUGUCAGAAAUUAUGUUAACCUCAUGAUGUAAAUUAAAAUAUUCACCAUGGAAUCUCUGAGUUUCUUAGAGCUCAGCAGGGCAAAGAGGAAUUAACUAGGGAGAGAGCUGUGGGAGAGCAUUCAAAGCAGAGGGAGAAGCAUGCCUUACUUAAUCUUACUCCAUUUUAAAAAGAUAACACAAUAAGCCCCUCAUCUUGUCCCAACCUCUAAAAUUUCUAAGUAUGAGAAGAAGGGAAAUAACUGUUACUGAACAUAUGUAUGUGUCAGACUUCUAAAAUAACAUAUGUCAUGCCAUUUUAACCCUAAUGGGGUGAGAUAUUAUCUAAAUAUUGCAAAUAAGUAGUCUGAUUAUGUCUUGGUUUGCUCAAUAUGGUUCUAUCCCAGGGCAAUAAUUUAUAAUGCUCCCCUUUUCACUCUUGAAAGCGUUUCAGUUUGUGCGAUAAAUUCUAUGGUCAUAAAUAAAUGAAGCUCAGAGGGAUUAUUAAUUUGCCUUGGGUUACACAGCUAGUAAGUGCAGAGGGUGAUGUGAUACCACAUCGGUGCUCUCUGAUCUAAAGCCCAUGCUCUCAACUGUGUAUUGCACACACAAUUUGUUGGCUCUACUCCUGUGUUCCUCUCUAUGUAAUUCUUCCAAUCACGGUUAGGUAGCCCAAGACUAAACUGACAAAAAUUGGCUUUCUGACAUCUGCCUUCACUAAUUCUGCUGAGUCAUGUAUUUCUAUAAAGUACAAAUGAAAAGAAAUGAAGCACUAAGAUUAAAUAUGAAACAUGUAUCGUAAGUAGUAGUUCUUUUCUUGGUAUGCUUAUCUUUAUACUUACAUUUAGCCUAUUCUUUAUGUUGCCCAAGUAUGUGGAAACUAAUUUAAAAUGCAGUUGCUUCUGAAACUCAAUAUGUGACUCUAAUGACAAAACAUUGGCUAUCAUUGUUCUUUUCUAUUAUAUGAUACCUUGUGGGCUAGGGAGGUUCGUGACUUGCCCUGGUGAGCUGAGCCUGAGUGUAAGAAGUUUAGCACUUCUUAAAAUAAUCAAUUAAACCCUCUUAUAUUUAAGGCAUCUUAAUAACACUUUCUAACACAGUUUUUAUCUUGGUCAAAACUGAGUAAUACAGGUAAAUUUUUUUUUCAGCCGAAUAUGAUAAAAGCUUUUGAAAGCAUUCUUCAUAUGUAAAUAUAUCAAAAGCAUGGAAUAGGAUGCUAUUGCUUCCCCUUUUAUUUUAAACAAAAAAUCAGAUUAUGCCAAAAUCAUAUUAUAAGUAAAUAUUACAUUAUUUUGUUCCUUUAUGGAAUAUACUGUUACCUCAAAAGAUGCUGGCAUCACUCUGUCUGCUUAAAAACAAGAUUUUAUGAAGUAUGUCAUGUGUUAGAAUUUGUUUCCUUUAUGAUAUAUGUAAAAAUGGUUCACUAUGGAAUCUCUGAACAUGUUUUAUUAAAUAGUAUUCCCAACUGUUUGCUACAUACCUUAUUAGUACCUCUUUGAAUAUAUUUUCAGGUCUUUCAGUCAAUCUAUCAUUCAUUUAUUCAAUUCAUAUUCCUGUGCCACUGAAUAUGUUGCUUGUGCAACUGCUGUUAGCACAAGUGGAUUUAUACUUAGUAGACCGGAAAUAUAUACCACCUUCCUUCCUUGCUUUCUAACUCAGAGAACGUCUCCUGAUCUUCAUCUAGCUCAUUCUGCUCUCUUCCCAGCCAAGACCACAAAUAGAAUUUUAUUUAGUAAUUUUGUGGAAACUCCCUUUUUUUUCCCCCAAACUGUCUUCUUUUCUUACAUUCAUCAAAUAUUAUGGCUAAAAGAAGGCUCUGUGGACUGUGCAGUUCAGCACUUCUGUCACACUGUGAGUGGGAUGACAGUGUGCAUUAUGAAAGGAAAGGGUUCUGUGGCCAAAUAAAUACGGGAAACCACGGGCUAAACACAGCUUAAAAGGCCUUUUGACUGUGAGACACCUCCAAAUAUAGGAUAUGGAAUAUACCAAUUCCUAAAUUUAUUUGACCACAAAAACCCUUGCUCACCGUUUGUCUUGCAAGGCUGAUAUUCUAAGAAGGGCACGUUGGAUAACGCUGAUCUAGAACCUCAUUUUAUAAACAAAUUGCCCCUGAGAAAAUAAGUGACUCACCCAAGACCUCACAGCUAUUUGGUGGAAAAUCAGGAGACCAGAACCUAUUUUUGCUGCUUCUGACCUAAGCAACUGGACAUUUCACAGCCCUGAGAAUCCUGCUGUCUCUUCCUGCAUGCAUUUGUGGAUAUGACUUACAAGAUGGAAUCUGACUGCUGUUA